ACUCAGGCACGAUCCGGGAAGAGAGCCCGGAACCGACCUGAAGUAUCAAUCCUGAGGGA
rfam:Corynebacterium appendicis CIP 107643 strain DSM 44531 genome assembly, contig: Ga0111701_106